AUGUCAUACCUCUUAUAACCACAGAUAAAAAAGGUGUGUCAAGGGAAUGCAAAGGUUCAACGGUUUAUCAAAUCUAGAUCGUCUAUUAGACAGAGGGCUCUUUCACGGAUGUGGUCAAUUCUUGAGGGAAAUCAAGUACAAAUCACAAACCAGCCUGCAAAGAAGGUGGUACAGUGAUAUGCAAUGUGUGGUAAUCAGAUGGAUCAUAAGCCAAGGGUAUUAGUGACGUCGCUCUAAAAUUAUCGGCAUUGCAUUGUUUUGUUCUAGUGAAGGAUGUUGCCGCAAUAUUAUGAACUGCCAAAGGUUAUCAGAUAAUCUCAUAAAUGAUCUGCUUUAGAGCGGAGGUUCUUACAUUAGAAAUGUUGUAUUUGGUAAAAAUGGUGGCAAUAGCUAGAGCGGGUGUUCUUAAAGAUUUGCAAGGAUCCUUAGAGCUUGUCAAUGUUCCAGUGAAGUUAAAUAUCCUAGGAUUGUUCAAAUUUAUGUAACUCAUCUUCAACCUUGGUU